rnacentral:tRNA from 1 species
AGAAAUAUGCCCAUAAUUAAGCUGCUAACUUAAUUGAUAGUGAUUUAAAUUCAUUAAUAUUUCUU